AGACCCCUUGUGCACUCACAGCUCUGCCCCAUGGUGCUGCCUGGCCACUGAACCUGCCCUGUCCCACAAAAAGGGGUCCCUGAGUCUAGGGACCCACUGGGGCAUCUGCUCCCCCUCUGCCCCUUGGACACCCUGGGCUCCCCCAACCUCCCUGCCUUGGUUUUCCUGCUGGAGAGCAGGCUGGCAGCAUAGGAAUAGGGCGACGAGCAAUCAGGAGGUCUCCAGAAGUUUGGGGAAGGAUAGACAUGAAGAAGAAGGAUGUCUGAGCUCUGGGUGUGGCUUGAUUCCAGCCACCUCCUGGGCUCCAUCCCACAAACCCGGACCCUCUCCAGCAGUGGGGUCUGAGCCUGAUGCCACCAGCCUAAGAAAUCACCACCCCUUCUGAGGGCACCCAGGUGUGGCUCAGCCUGGGGCAGAACACCAGCACAGCCAUUCUCUGGCACUGAGGAUCCUGAGGCAGGAACCAUCCCACCACUGACAGACCUUAGAAGCAAUGGAAACAGCCAGGAGGGGGCCCCUGGGAUGCAUGUCACGUCCUCCCCAGACACAGAGCGGGCACGGGGCAGCUCUUGGUCCUGGCGUGCUCUGGGCUGGGUGUCACACAAGGCUGCAUUCAUCUGGAACCAGGGGGGACAGGCCCAGCACUGUCACCUAAGCCGGGCACAGGUUAUCCUUGUUCUUGUGUAACCUGUUGCAUAAAGCUGGCCUGGGCAGCUGUGCUGCCAGCAAUGGGGGCUAUAAAGUGAGUGCAGCCUCUCCUGCCCACAUCCACUUCAGGGUGAGGAUGACAGCAGCACUGCCCAGCCUGGCUCUGGCCAUGCUCUGCCUGCUGCAGGUAGGAGCCCAGGGCCCCGUGCAGCUGGACCUGGACACCAAGAAGUUUGCAGGGGUGUGGUAUGUCACAGCCAUUGCUUCCAACUGCUCCAUCUUCCUGAAGAUGAAAGAUGGGAUGAAGUCACCCAUGGCCAUCAUCAGCUUCAUGCCAGAAGGGGACCUGGCCGUGAAGUUGGUCUGGCCCCUGAUGGACAAAUGCCAAAAGUUUGAGCUGCUCUUCCAGCAGAGCGGGCAGGCGGGGCACUACAUGGGAGCACAAGAGAAGAGGAAUCUGCGUGUGAUGGAGGCAGACUACAGUCAUUAUGCUGUCCUGCACGAGGUCCAGCACAGCGAGGCAGAGCCCAGCACGGCGCUGCAGCUUCUCAGUGCGUUGGGAGUGGGGACCUGGCUCCUGGGAAGGGUUGGGACCACCAGCAGCAGGCAGGGGCUGGGCUUCCCACCACUUCCCAGGGCCACCACCAGCACCACCCCACGUCCAUCACCUAGGGAAUUAAUUUUGGGGUGAAUGAAACUUUGCGCUACAGAAAUCUCCAGUUGGUUGUGGGUUGAACCAGAGCCUCCUGCAGUGUGCAAGCCCAGCUGCAGCAACCUAAGCCUGCCAGCAAUCCCAUACCACCCCAAGCAAAUGGGUUGCUGAUCCCAAGGGGCUUGUGCCCCUUUGCUGCCAACCCAGGGCAGCUGUGGUUUGCCUGGUGUCCACCCUGCAUGUUCAUUGCUUCACCUUGGCCCUUCCCUGGGGUCCAGCUGCUGCCCUGCAGUACCUGGACCCCCAGUGUGGGGCUGGCUGCUGGGAUUCCUUGCACUCACCAGCUCCCACUUUGGGUUUGUGGCUGCAGCAAGGGAGCAGGAUGUGAGCCCCCAGCUCCUGCAGAAGUUCAUGGAGCUCAUCCCCACCAUGGGCCUGACCGAGGACAUGCUGGCCAUCCUGCCCAAGUCAGAUCAAUGCACCAGGGACAUCAGCUGAAGGACCAUGUGUCCCCCAGAAGUAGUAGACGACGGGCUCUGCACCCCACUCCGUGGUGCUCCUUCCCAUCCUGCAGGCUCUGCCGGACCCCCUGCUCCAUACCAGGAUCACCCUCAACUUCCUAAAUAAAUAGAUGCAGAAGA